AAUGAACGCUGGCGGCGUGCCUAACACAUGCAAGUCGUACGAGAAAUCCCGAGCUUGCUUGGGAGAGUAAAGUGGCGCACGGGUGAGUAACGCGUGGGUAACCCACCUUCGAAUCUGGGAUAACUCCGCGAAAGCGGUGCUAAUACCGGAUAAGACCACAGCCGUUUCGGCGGCAGAGGUAAAAGCUGACCUCUCCAUGGAAGUUAGCGUUCGAGGACGGGCCCGCGUCCUAUCAGCUUGUUGGUGGGGUAAUGGCCUACCAAGGCAGCGACGGGUAGCUGGUCUGAGAGGAUGAUCAGCCACACUGGAACUGGAACACGGUCCAGACUCCUACGGGAGGCAGCAGUGAGGAAUUUUGCGCAAUGGGGGAAACCCUGACGCAGCAACGCCGCGUGGGUGAAGAAGGCUUUCGGGUCGUAAAGCCCUGUCAGGUGGGAAGAACCGUUUCGAUACUAAUAAUGUCGAAGCCUGACGGUACCACCAGAGGAAGCACCGGCCAACUCCGUGCCAGCAGCCGCGGUAAUACGGAGGGUGCAAGCGUUGUUCGGAAUUAUUGGGCGUAAAGAGCGUGUAGGCGGUCCGGUAAGUCAGAUGUGAAAGCCCUGGGCUCAACCCAGGAAGUGCAUUUGAAACUACCAGACUUGAGUACGGGAGAGGAGGGGGGAAUUCCCGGUGUAGAGGUGAAAUUCGUAGAUAUCGGGAGGAAUACCAGUGGCGAAGGCGCCCCUCUGGACCGAUACUGACGCUGAGACGCGAAAGCGUGGGGAGCAAACAGGAUUAGAUACCCUGGUAGUCCACGCCGUAAACGAUGAGCACUAGGUGUAGCGGGUAUUGACCCCUGCUGUGCCGUAGCUAACGCAUUAAGUGCUCCGCCUGGGGACUACGGUCGCAAGACUAAAACUCAAAGGAAUUGACGG
rnacentral:rRNA from 1 species